GAUGAACGCUGGCGGCGUGCCUAAUACAUGCAAGUCGAGCGAAGCGGGGACGGGUGAGUAACACGUGGACAACUUCCUAUAAGACUGGGAUACCUUCGGGAAACCGGAGCUAAAGCGGAAACUUAACGAUGGCUCCGAGCUGCAUUAGCUAGUUGGUAAGGUAAGGGCUUACCAAGGCAACGAUGCAUAGCCGAUCUGAGAGGAUGAUCGACCUCACUGGAACUGAGGCACGGACCAGACUCCUACGGUAGGCAGCAGUAGGGAAGCUUCCGCAAUGGGCGAAAGCCUGACGGAGAUAAGCCGCGUGAUUGAAGAAGGUCUUCGGAGUGUAAAACUAUGUUAUUAGGGAAGCGGUACCUAAUCAGAAAGCCACGGCUAACUACGUGCCAGCAGCCGCGGUAAUUC
rnacentral:rRNA from 1 species